ACCGGAUUAGUAUAAUUGGCAGUACAACUGGUUCUGGUCCAGUUAGUUGAGGUUCGAAUCCUUGAUCCGGUG
rnacentral:tRNA from 1 species